UAAGGAAUAUUGGACAAUGGGCGCAAGCCUGAUCCAGCCAUUCCGCGUGCAGGAUGACGGCCCUCUGGGUUGUAAACUGCUUUUAUUUGGGAAGAAACCCCUGGAUUUAUCUGGGGCUGACGGUACCAAACGAAUAAGCACCGGCUAAUUCCGUGCCAGCAGCCGCGGUAAUACGGAAGGUGCAAGCGUUAUCCGGAAUCACUGGGUUUAAAGGGUGCGUAGGCGGCCCGGUAAGUCAGAGGUGAAAGCUCAUAGCUCAACUAUGGAAUUGCCUUUGAUACUGCCGAGCUAGAAUUAGGUUGAGGUUGGCGGAAUGUGACAUGUAGCGGUGAAAUGCUUAGAUAUGUCAUAGAACACCAAUUGCGUAGGCAGCUGACUGGACCUAUAUUGACGCUGAGGCACGAAAGCGUGGGGAGCGAACAGG
rnacentral:rRNA from 1 species